CGGAGGGUGCAAGCGUUAUCCGGAUUUAUUGGGUUUAAAGGGUGCGUAGGUGGCCCUGUAAGUCAGUGGUGAAAUAUCUCAGCUUAACUGAGAGGGUGCCAUUGAUACUGCAGGGCUUGAGUACAGAUGAGGUAGGCGGAAUUGACGGUGUAGCGGUGAAAUGCAUAGAUAUCGUCAAGAACACCGAUAGCGAAGGCAGCUUACCAAGCUGUAACUGACACUGAGGCACGAAAGUGUGGGGAUCAAACAGGAUUAGAUACCCUGGUAGUCCACACUGUAAACGUUGAUGACUCGAUGUUGGCGAUACACAGCCAGCGUCCAAGAGCAAUCGUUAAGUCAUCCACCUGGGGAGUACGCCGGCAACGGUG
rnacentral:rRNA from 1 species